rnacentral:lncRNA from 1 species
ACUGCCACCUUCCCAGGUAAAGAAUUUCGAUAUGUUUCAUCUUGUCAAAUAGUUCAGGUCCGCUAUCAAUAAUAGCCGCACCCCAAUUAAUAAAGCUUGAGUACUUACCCAGACCAGAAUCAACAAAUGGAGUCUCAAAUGGUGUAUCACGAUGAAGAAUAUAAUUUGAAGUAUAUUUAUGGAGAUUUGCUAUGGAGGAUAUAGUAUAACGAACCUCAUUGCUCAUCCAGCAACAAUCCGGCAGUAAGUUACACUUUUGGUAAAUAGGCUCGAUGAGGCCCUUUUUAAUAAGUUGAUCGAAGAUCUCAUUGCGAAUAUCCUCCUUCGUUUCCAAAACUUUUUCAGUUAAUUCGCGCAUGCCUUUCAGCUCGGGUCCCUCCACAAUCCACAAGUACGUCAUAACCCUCCUCUUUAUUAUAGCCAUGGAUGGGAACCUAAAGAAACAUAACAAACAAGUUUUUAAUAUAGGUGGUAGGUCAAGGAAAGUUGUAGCUACACCUUCUGAACCAAUGGUGUGCCCAAACUUUGGCUCCGUGCACAAGUUGUGCAUCAUUUCAUUGCUGGCCUUGUUUACAUCAGGCCAUGGAUUACGAUGUGGGUGGGAAUCAACAGAACGCAUUAGAAACUGUGAAGGAAUACGGGUUUGAAGCUUCGCAACAACCAUUUUGAGUUCGUUAAGCUCUCCCUCAGUCCCUCUUGUUUGGAGCCCUGCAAACUUCUCACGGGCAUGGUUGAUUUGCAAAUUCACAUCAUCCACGUACUUCUUUGCCUCCGUGAAGGCCUCUUCCACGGAAAUGAGGCCUUGAUGAAUCAAGUUAGAGAGGGCAAUAGCUCUACCGUGGUUAUUGUCAUUGUUACUGGUUGUUGCACUGCUGGAGGCGGCAUUGUGUUUCUUCUCGACCGGUUUGGGUUUGUGUUUGUGUUUCGAUUUGGGACUGCGUAUGGGUUUGCCUUUGUAUUUGGGUUUGGGUCUGGAGAUACAACAUUUGGCUUUGAAAUAAGCUACCAAAGGUCGUAGUGAGCAAUUGGGUUUGGAGAUACGGCAUUUGGCUUUGAAAUAAGCUACCAAAGGUCGUACUGAGCAAUUGGGUUUGGAGAUACGGCAUUUGGCUUUGAAAUAUGCUACCAAAGGCCGUACUGAGCAAUUGGCUUUGGAAUGAGUAGUACUAGAAAUGCUCAGGGGUGGACUAUCAUUCGAUGCUGAAGGAGAAGCUGAAGGAGAUGCUGAAGGAGAAGCUUGAGUAAUGGACAUAAUUUUGAGUAAUCAGAGGGUUGCUUUUGAAUUGGGAUAUGAAUGGUUUCCUAAUCUUAAUGUCAAAGUGGAGUUUAUAUAUGAGUAGUGGUGAGUCUCUUCGUACUUGUCACAAUUUAAAAGUGAAACCACUUGCUGCAUUUCAUAUUUAGACAACAUUGACUUCAUAAAUAAAUUGUUUCCAAUUGCGGGUUAAGAUUCCUUUACAAUUUCAAAUCCAAGUUGUCAUCAUCAUAUGACAUCACUGUCAUGGUCAUGAUGGAGAAUAAUUGACUAGUAAGGAGGAAAAUAGCACGGUAACUUCUACUAGGAAUUUGAACACAUUAAACCCUGUAGUUUAUACUCAAUUGCUGUGUAAAACUUCCUUUAUUCUCCGUUACUAAAAUUGAACGGAAGGAGCCACGGGCCAUAUACACGGCACAAGGCCCGUACAAAAAGACAAAAGAGGAAAUCUCCAUCUCUACACCACCUCUCAGACUUCACCCUCGCCACCUGCUAUUGCAAAACUUGAUCUCAAUUUCGUCCACUUUGUUUUCUCUUCAAUUUCUUCACGAUUUUCGAUCCUUGUUCCAUAUUUGCAAAAUUUUAAAAAGAGAGAGAGGGGUAAAAGUCAUUAAACAAUGCAACAAAUUAGAUCAUAUUUACAGUCUAUUUCUUCACCGAAACUAUCCCCGCUAUGGAACCAAACACCAUCACGAAACCCACCUCCCUCGGGCAAAGGCAAAAUUGGAGGGAGGUGGUAGAAGAGGUUGGUUGCUUGUGGCGUUGGUUGCAGUAGGAGGUUAUGGUGUGGAAGGGUCAUUAUUAUUUAUUUAUUUAUUUUGUGUUUCGGCUUCUUUAUGAUUGUUUAGUUGUUACAUGUUACGAUGAGUUUUACAUUCUACAUAAUUUUUAUUAAAAACCUACACUUGCUAAUUCUCUGUUCACACGUGAAAAUAAUAUUGUUCAUAGUCCACCAUCCAAGGCGGAUGGACGAUGGGGGCAUGUGCGGGAAUGUGUUCACAGCUGUGCAUAAUUCUUUGCAGGUACCUGUCCAAACCCAUGUGGGUGUGUCGUGUCCCAACUGUUAGAGAAGGGGAGUAGAAUUCACCCUCAAAACUCGAGUUACAAGGAGAGUGAACUUCCCAACUCUUAUAAAGAGGCCCAGACAGAGGUCUCCUAGGCGAUGUGGGACUGAUCACUCAACACUGCCCCCUCACGCAGAGCGGGGGGAUGUACAGCAUUGUGAGGAUAACGUGUGAGCAUAGG